rnacentral:rRNA from 1 species
CACGUAGGGUGCGAGCGUUGUCCGGAAUUAUUGGGCGUAAAGAGCUCGUAGGCGGUGUGUCGCGUCGGCCGUGAAAACCUGCAGCUUAACUGUGGGCUUGCGGUCGAUACGGGCAUCACUGGAGUUCGGCAGGGGAGACUGGAAUUCCUGGUGUAGCGGUGAAAUGCGCAGAUAUCAGGAGGAACACCAAUGGCGAAGGCAGCUGCACUGGACGGUAUUGACGCUGGAGACGCGAAAGCGUGGGGAGCAAACAGGAUUGAGAA